rnacentral:rRNA from 1 species
GACGAACGCUGGCGGCGUGCUUAACACAUGCAAGUCGAACGGAAAGGCCCUGCUUGUGUGGGGUGCUCGAGUGGCGAACGGGUGAGUAACACGUGAGUAACCUGCCCUUGACUUUGGGAUAACUUCAGGAAACUGGGGCUAAUACAGGAUAGGAGCUCCUGCUGCAUGGUGGGGGUUGGAAAGUUUAGGCGGGUGGGGAUGGACUCGCGGCUUAUCAGCUUGUUGGUGGGGUAGUGGCUUACCAAGGCUUUGACGGAUAGCCGGCAGGAGAGGGUGACCGGCCACAUUGGGACUGAGAGACGGACCAGACUCCUAUGGGAGGCAGCAGUGGGGAAUCUUGCACAAUGGGCGGAAGCCUGAUGCAGCAACGCCGCGUGCGGGAUGACGGCCUUCGGGUUGUAAACCGCUUUCGCCUGUGACGAAGCGUGAGUGACGGUAAUGGGUAAAGAAGCACCGGCUAACUACGUG